CCCUCUCCCCUCGCCUCCUCCUCUCCCGAGUCCCUGCGCCGCCGGCUCCUCCCCUUCUCUUACGCCUUCUCCUCCCCAUUCCUCUCAUCUCCCUGCCUGGGUUACAGCCGCCGCCCUCGCCCCAGGUGAGUUGUUGCUGGGGGCGGGGCGGGGCGGGCUGGUGCCCUCGAGUUUGCCAUUAAGGAAGCCGUGGGUGGAGGUGAGACGCUGCUGGAGUUCAAGGUGGCUGAACGCCACGACGGGGCAACAGAUCGGCAGCCUGCGGCCCGGACCUCAGGUCCAGUUCAUGUUAAUUACCCGAAGCUUGGCGAGUUGUGGUGGUUAAUAAUUCCAUUUGCUUUGACGACACUAGAUCAUUAGUCACGGGAUGUUAAGCUCGCUCUGUAGUGUUGCUUACAAUAUUUCCUCAAUUUCCAUUGGUGGGAAUUUUGAGUGAGAAUGAUCCACAUGAUUGACAAGAACAGGGAAUGAUUAGCUUCAAGCACAUAGCAAAGAAUGUGAAAAUAAUAUAUUUAACGUUGUAUGGAGAUGCAGUACUUGAUGCGCUCCUCUGGAUCCGCUGCCCCUCUUUGUUUCUGAUUAUUGUUCUUCUCAUAUACUAUCAAAUUUCCAUGGAUGGGAUCUGAUGAAUGAGUAUCCCGUGUCUGCGGCAACUCGCAUGGCCUGAUCCGGAAGUACGGGUGUGCUGCAGGCAUUGCUUCCACAACUAUGCCAAGGACAUUGGCUUCAUCAAGGUAUGAGCCACCCCACUAUUUAUUGAUUUCCUUAAUCAUGUGCCUGAGUUUGAUGACUGCUGAGUAGUAAUAUGUUACCCCAUGCUUUCCUUUGAACAAUAUAUAUGCUUUGUCUACAAGGCCUCUUGGUAUGCUGCACCAAUUUUAAUUUGUUGGAGACUACCAUCUGGUAGUGUGAGUUAUUAAAUAAUGUAGUGUGAUGUAUGACAUGUUGGAUUCACUUAUUCAGAAUAGAUCUAUGUACUGCCCUCCUCAUUCCCGGAGUAAACCCAGUUAAGUUCUGCAAUCAUCACUUCAUGUUCUGCCUUGCAUUACUUUGUAUCUGUUUGAACAAUAUGUGUAAUUUCUACGCACCAUAAGUCAACUUGGAAUGGACCUAGUUGUGCAUGACUACAUGAUAGCUUUGUUUGUUUGUUAUUCCCACCUAUAUAAGUCUUACUCUGCUGCAUCUAUCUCCAGUCUCGGCUAUUUUACUAACUGUCAACUACCAAGUUUUUCCUGAGCAUACCAUUCCAUUUCAAAGCACAACAAAUCGAGUGUAUUGCAAUUGCUCAAAUAUUUAUUAAGUAGGUAUAUAUACAUUGUAUAUAUUUAUUUCCUGAAUAACGAUGAUUUAUUAGAAGUUAAGAUGAUUUUCCUUUUGAAGAAUUUUGUUUCCAUUUCCAUUUUAUCUCAUUAACUAUAGGUUUUAUGCUUCAGUUUUUAGGGUUGGGUAAACUAUUGUUCAGAUGCAUGUGUUAUGUUUGAAUACCUGAAUGUCCGUGUGUAACUAAUUUCUUGUAUUCCUUUUAUUUUGCAUAAUCCCAAUCUAAUUAUACUGAUAGCUGCAUUUGUGCUCUUGUUUAACGGUACCGUUAAGAAUGGAACCUCAAAGGAAGCAAGGACUAUGAAGUUAUCAUCAAACUGUGGUGUUUCAACGAGGACGAUCUUUAUCAACAAUGAGGGUUGAAUUAGAUCUUCACAGACAAAUACAUCUUUAUGUAAUAAAAAUGCUGAUAUGAUGAUCGGGAGGAGUUGCAGAAGAUAGAUUUCAAAUGGCUUGAAUAAGAAGAGAUGCAGAUCACUAUUCUAGACAGACUUUGAAGGAUGAAGAAUAAAGAACACUCUAUGAUCAGAUCAGCCAUCUAACUCCAAUACCAUGCACCAAUGCUUGGAACUCAUGCAAGUGUCAUACUCGCAUUACCAAAUCAGGCUACGAAGACAAGUCUUCGUGCGCACAUGGAUUGCAAAAGAGUGGCAUUUAAAAGGCAGCUGGCAUUUGAUGAAUUGCUGAAUGGUGGUGGUUGCACACCAUGGGGGACAGUGUUCCAAGAGAGGUCUCAAAGAUGGUUAGAGAUUAGGCAGUCCAACGUCAAACAUGAUUGUGCUGAUGUCUGGGUUUCGGCUUGGUGGUGAGGUGCUUGAGGUCACGGCUCUGCGUCAGGAACCUCCUCUUGAGCGGGCUUGUACUUCAUGGUGGUGAGGUCUAUCUUGAUGGUAGACCAGUUGGUUGAUUAAAUGCCAGUAGGAGCAGCUCAGUGAACCACUGAUGUAGUCUCACUGUGCAUCAGUAUUGUUGACCUCAACUUGUCUAUUCAUAUGAUCCAUGUAUCGUAUUUAGUUUCUCUCUAAGACUUGGUAUGCCUGUGUUCUGGUGAUCCGAGGAACUCUGCCUCUCUUUUGGAGAUCAUCCACCUUUUGGAGACUGUUAAACCUUGAUUUGAAAAUCUGGAUGUGUCUAUGACGAGUCA